AGGAGGAGGUUUUAUUGUUGACAAUAGGAGGAGGUUGUGUUGUUGACAAUAGGAUGAGGUUGUGUUGUUGACAAAAGGAGGAGGUUUUAUUGUUGACAAUAGGAGGAGGUUGUGUUGUUGACAAUAGUAGGAGGUUGUGUUGUUGACAAUAGGUAGAGGUUGUGUUGUUGACAAUAGGAGGAGGUUGUGUUGUUGACAUUAGGAGGAGGUUGUGUUUUUGACAAUAGGAAGUUGUGUUGUUGACAAUAGGAAGAGGUUGUGUUGUUGACAAUAGGAGGGGGUUGUGCUAUUGACAAUAGGAAGAGGUUGUGUUGUUGACUUUAGGAGGUUGUGUUGUUGACAAUAGGAGGAGGGUGUGUUGUUGACAAUAGGUAGAGGUUGUGUUGUUGACAAUAGGAGGAGGUUGUGCUGUCGACAAUAGGAGGAGGUUGUGUUGUUGACAAUAAGAGGAGGUUGUGUUGUUGACAAUAGGAGGAGGUUGUGUUGUUGACUAUAGGUAGAGGUUGUGUUGUUGACAAUAGGAGGAGGUUUUAUUGUUGACAAUAGGAGGAGGUUGUGUUGUUGACAUUAGGAGGAGGUUGUGUUUUUGACAAUAGGAAGUUGUGUUGUUGACAAUAGGAAGAGGUUUUGUUGUUGACAAUAGGAGGAGGUUGUGCUGUUGACAAUAGGAUGAGGUUGUGUUGUUGAAAAUAGGAGGAGGUUUUAUUGUUGACAAUAGGAGGAGGUUGUGCUGUUGACAAUAGGAUAAGGUUUUGUUGUUGACAAUAGGAGGAGGUUUUAUUGUUGACAAUAGGAGGAGGUUGUGUUGUUGACAAUAGGAGGAGGUUGUGCUAUUGACAAUAGGAAGAGGUUGUGUUGUUGACUUUAGGAGGUUGUGUUGUUGACAAUAGGAGGAGGUUGUGUUGUUGACAAUAGGUAGAGGUUGUGUUGUUGACAAUAGGAGGAGGUUGUGUUGUUGACAAUAGGAGGAGGUUGUGCUGUUGACAAUAGGAGGAGGUUGUGUUGUUGACAAUAGGAGGAGGUUGUGUUGUUGAUUGGCAGUUACAAAGUUUCUUUGUCAUUGAUAACUUCAAAUUGUUGCCUUAAAUUUCAAGGCACUGGGAAAAUAUUUUAAGUAGUAUUUGAGAAAAACUUACUAAUUUCUGAAGUUAAAUAUAUGGCGGGACCAGAAUGUUAACAUUAAAGUUUUUAUUAGUAUCAGAUUACAGAUUCUGAGUAACAUGAUUCAGAUGAACUUGUAGGAUCAUGUAUCUGGUAGUUAGGUUCUGAACAAUUCUAUUUUUAAAUAACAGUGACCUUUACCUUUGUUGAACCACACUCAAAAUGAGUCUGCUCUAAGACAACCAACAUAACAAGUCUGAACUUGGUGGGAUCAUUAGUCCUUAAGUUGUGAUCAGGACAAGGCAAUUCUACUUUUAGUAAGUGAUCUCACUUUUAACAAAAAGCAAAAUCAAUAGAGUUGAUCCUCUUCUCUAAGACAAUUCAUGCACAAAGAUAAGACUUUGAUUGGUCAUUUGUUCUUUGAAAUUCCAUUUUCAGUCACACUGACCUUGACCAUUGACCGAAUUGUUGCUCUUCCUUAGGUCAACCAACAUACAGCACCAAAUUUGUACAUUUUGUGACCAUGUCUUUUAGAGCUGGGAUCCAGAAAAGGAAUUAUUAUAUUCAAUAACUGGGACCUUGAUCGUUGACAACCAACAAAGCAAAUAUUAGCCUAGAGAUUUGUGCAAUUAUGAGUUUGGAAGUUAUGGGUCUGGACAAAAAACACCAUUAGUUAACAGUGACCUCGACCUUUUACAAAGUACACGUAGGAUCAUCAGGUUUCUUCCUCUCUCUUACUUGUGGGACAAAUCCCAUAUCAAGUUAGAGCUUUCUGUGACCUGAAGUUUGCAUCUUGAACAGAAAUGUAAACAAAUCGACAGAUAUUCUGGGAGAUUGCUCCAUCUCCCAAAGUAACAUGUGUUUGAUGGUUGAUGUAGGGGAGGGGAAAUAGGUAUAGGGUGACACCUUCCUUACUUUAAAUCAGGUUUUAAUAUCUCUUGAUGUAACUUACAUACAUAAAGCUUUGUUUUCUGAAAAUGAAAAUGAUAAACGGUGCACGUUAGGAGUUCAGGACAGAAGUUCCUGGUCACAGUGAUGACCUUUUCUGAUCUCAUAGCUCCUUUGAUACACUGCUAAAUACUCAAGCUUUACAAACAGUAUAUUUCCACGUUUGAGAUUUCUAUGUCAGUGUGUAUCACUAGAUAGCAGACAAUGGUAGAAAAUGAUGUAUCUCUUCAGGAGGAAAGCAAUCUGCUGAGUACAUACACUAAGUAUAACCUUGAUUUCAACUUCAUAUUUACUGUAUUUACCUCAAGAAUUCUAAAAAAAUCUGAAUAUAUUAUCUGAAAAUUGAUUAAAUUAAGAAAUAACAAGGCAUCGCCAAUGAUACAAAUGCCCUUGGGUACAGAAGUCUACAGUCUAUUAGAGGGUACAGAAGUAUACAGUCUAUUUUAGGGUACAGAAGUCUAGGCUAUUAGAGGGUACAGAAGGCUACAGUCUAUUAGAGGGUGUGUAUACUUGGGUACAGAAG
rnacentral:lncRNA from 1 species